GACGAACGCUGGCGGCGUGCCUAAUACAUGCAAGUCGAACGCUUUUUCUUUCACCGGAGCUUGCUCCACCGAAAGAAAAAGAGUGGCGAACGGGUGAGUAACACGUGGGUAACCUGCCCAUCAGAAGGGGAUAACACUUGGAAACAGGUGCUAAUACCGUAUAACACUAUUUUCCGCAUGGAAGAAAGUUGAAAGGCGCUUUUGCGUCACUGAUGGAUGGACCCGCGGUGCAUUAGCUAGUUGGUGAGGUAACGGCUCACCAAGGCAACGAUGCAUAGCCGACCUGAGAGGGUGAUCGGCCACACUGGGACUGAGACACGGCCCAGACUCCUACGGGAGGCAGCAGUAGGGAAUCUUCGGCAAUGGACGAAAGUCUGACCGAGCAACGCCGCGUGAGUGAAGAAGGUUUUCGGAUCGUAAAACUCUGUGUUAGAGAAGAACAAGGAUGAGAGUAGAACGCUCAUCCCUUGACGGAUCUAACCAG
rnacentral:rRNA from 1 species